AAAGAUUUUGUUGAUUUUGUUUGAUUGUGAUUAACCAAUUUACUGUAUUGAAUAUUUAAGAUUAUUAAUUGUUUUCUCCACAAUCAAUUAAUUGGCCAUUCCGGGUAACUUCCGACCUUCCAUCGAUCAAUUUGUUUCAAAGUGUCAACAAAGAUAAAGUGUUAAAGAAUGUUCCAAUUACCUGAAGGAUCCAGUUCAUCUCCAUACCAAGAGAGAAACGCUCGCAAGGAUACAACCAACAAUAUUAUCUUAUUUGCUUUGAUGAUUGCGAUUAUCAAAGCUACUCCUCAUUUAAUCAAAAGAUUCAAUGAUUAAGUUUUUUUUUCUGUUCCCAACAAUCAAUUAAUUGUCCCUCAUCAUGUAAACACCUUUGUAGAUAAUAGAAAAUGAUUUAGUUUAACUAAUGUCAUUUGGUUAAACAUACAAAA